CUCAGCCAUAAAAAGGAAUGAAUUAACGGCAUUCUCAGCAACCUGCAGGGAUUCCCGUCGACUUGCACCCCCGGGGCAGAUAUGCUGAGGGGGCUCCCAGCACCAGGGCCUCCCCAGGAGCUGAGUCGUGCCCAACAGGAGCAGAGUGGGGACGGCUUUACGCCUCAUCCAGCCCCUUGGUUUCACCUCCUGCCAGGAGCAGGCAUCACUGUGUCCUACAGAUGCUGAAACCCUGGCCUGUGAGGGCUAAGUGGCCUUGUUCAAGCACAUACACCCAGGGCAGGGAAGAAGCUGGCACUCCAGCCUGUGACAAGGCCUUCUUUCAGGCAGCAGGUCUGGUGUGUUUCUCUGCUCCAUGAUCUGUGUGCCCUGUUCCCUCCAGCAGGGAGUGUUGACACAGUGGCAGCCCGGGAGCCUCCCACGUGCUCCAGAGCUGCCUCCCCUGUGUGGUGAUGGAGUCUUCCUCUCCAGCCACAAGCCAUCCUCUCUUGGUGCAGCAAUGUUCACCCUCUGCCAAAUCACAUCUACGAGUGGGACACUGUGGAGCCUGCCAGAGCACCGGGCAGCCCCCAGGGACCCUUGAAGGUGGGCGCAGGUCACAGCCACCUAUCCAAGCCUCUGCUUCAGCACUGGAAGUGGGUGCGCUGAGAAUGUGUUCUGGUGCUGGAGAGACCUCGGGUCCAACAUGGGAUGCAGACCCAGGACUCAGAGAAAGGGGGAGUCAGGGAGGUGGAAGGCAGCCCCUGCCCUUCCACCAUGGACACCGGCGUCUGUUCCCUCCUGUUUUUCUUUAAUGCAUUUCCUUGUAAAUGACAAGGAAGAGCUUAGUGAAGUUUUGCUCACGUUUUCAAAUCAAGCAAGGCUGAGGUCACUCAUGAGGUCUGCCUGGCUUUGUCCACUCAGGCUUCCUCAGGCCUGGUCCCCAUUUUCAUCCAUUUUAAUAGCUCUCGACACCCGUGAUGCCCAAUGGGAAAAUGCAGCAGAGAAACCCCCUUUCCUGUGGCAAGGAUCUGUUAGCUCCCCAUGCAAGAUAUGAAAGAAGAUACGCGACAUCCUUUUU
rnacentral:lncRNA from 1 species